rnacentral:rRNA from 1 species
GAUGAACGCUGGCGGCGUGCCUAAUACAUGCAAGUCGAACGGAAAGGCCCUGCUUUUGUGGGGUGCUCGAGUGGCGAACGGGUGAGUAACACGUGAGUAACCUGCCCUUGACUUUGGGAUAACUUCAGGAAACUGGGGCUAAUACCGGAUAGGAGCUCCUGCUGCAUGGUGGGGGUUGGAAAGUUUCGGCGGUUGGGGAUGGACUCGCGGCUUAUCAGCUUGUUGGUGGGGUAGUGGCUUACCAAGGCUUUGACGGGUAGCCGGCCUGAGAGGGUGACCGGCCACAUUGGGACUGAGAUACGGCCCAGACUCCUACGGGAGGCAGCAGUGGGGAAUAUUGCACAAUGGGCGGAAGCCUGAUGCAGCAACGCCGCGUGCGGGAUGACGGCCUUCGGGUUGUAAACCGCUUUCGCCUGUGACGAAGCGUGAGUGACGGUAAUGGGUAAAGAAGCACCGGCUAACUACGUG